AGCUUUUCUUCUUUAUGAGAGUGUUAACCUUCUUCCUUUUUUUUUUCUAUUGAAAUCUGUGGGAGAGUAAGUGCAGGAUCUGGUUCCUAAAGCUGCUCCAUCACGUUGCCAAGUAACCAGAGAAGGAAUAUGUUUUGUUUUCCAUGGAGGGCAGGAAGGAUCAGAGUGCUUGUGUGAAAGAUCACAGAGCCUAAGGAAAUGUGUGAUCAGUGGGCAGACUGAAUCCAGCAUGAUCCUUCCACUUAGAGACAUUCUGUACCCUAAGUUAAAUAUUAACAAAAUGAACAAGUCUGCAAUCAAAAACAAAGCAAAAAAAGCCCUGCAGCAUUCCUGGUAUUAGCAAAUGGCAUCAUAAUUUCAUCAUCAUGAACUGUAUUUGCUAUAAUCUGGGCUUAUUCUGGGAUGUUUGACAGCAGAACAUGAUAGAGAUCUGUGAAGGUCAGCGAACUGGCAUCAGUUUAAAUCAGAUGAUUAUCUGCUCAUUUAUUUUGAAUGUAAAAUGAUGAUUACAGGGAAAGGAACCAAGAAAAGGGCUUUCAUCAUAAGGAGGAGUUUGAAAAGAAGAUUCCUCGGGGUUUGGGGUGGUUUGAGAGGAGUUUCUAUGUUUAGUUUUAGACUGCCCAAAAGAAGGCAACUUUAAGAGUUUAGGCACUUUAAGUACUUAGGCACUUUUCUCAAACGCUUGCUCU